ACUCCUACGGGAGGCAGCAGUGGGGAAUAUUGCACAAUGGGCGCAAGCCUGAUGCAGCCAUGCCGCGUGUAUGAAGAAGGCCUUCGGGUUGUAAAGUACUUUCAGCAGUGAGGAAGGUGGGUAUGUUAAUAGCAUACUCAUUUGACGUUAGCUGCAGAAGAAGCACCGGCUAACUCCGUGCCAGCAGCCGCGGUAAUACGGAGGGUGCGAGCGUUAAUCGGAAUUACUGGGCGUAAAGCGCAUGCAGGUGGUUUGUUAAGUCAGAUGUGAAAGCCCGGGGCUCAACCUCGGAAUUGCAUUUGAAACUGGCAAACUAGAGUACUGUAGAGGGGGGUAGAAUUUCAGGUGUAGCGGUGAAAUGCGUAGAGAUCUGAAGGAAUACCGGUGGCGAAGGCGGCCCCCUGGACAGAUACUGACACUCAGAUGCGAAAGCGUGGGGAGCAAACAGGAUUAGAACCCUGGUAGGCUCUGC
rnacentral:rRNA from 1 species